rnacentral:rRNA from 1 species
AUUGAACGCUGGCGGCAUGCUUUACACAUGCAAGUCGAACGGUAACAGGCCGCAAGGUGCUGACGAGUGGCGAACGGGUGAGUAAUGCAUCGGAACGUGCCCAGUCGUGGGGGAUAACGCAGCGAAAGCUGUGCUAAUACCGCAUACGAUCUAUGGAUGAAAGCGGGGGACCGUAAGGCCUCGCGCGAUUGGAGCGGCCGAUGUCAGAUUAGGUAGUUGGUGGGGUAAAGGCUCACCAAGCCAACGAUCUGUAGCUGGUCUGAGAGGACGACCAGCCACACUGGGACUGAGACACGGCCCAGACUCCUACGGGAGGCAGCAGUGGGGAAUUUUGGACAACGGGCGCAAGCCUGAUCCAGCAAUGCCGCGUGCAGGAAGAAGGCCUUCGGGUUGUAAACUGCUUUUGUACGGAACGAAACGGUCUGGGUUAAUACCCUGGGCUAAUGACGGUACCGUAAGAAUAAGCACCGGCUAACUACGUGCCAGCCGCCGCCGUAAGAC